UACGAAGGGGGCUAGCGUUGCUCGGAAUCACUGGGCGUAAAGCGCACGUAGGCGGAUCUUUAAGUCAGGGGUGAAAUCCCAAGGCUCAACCUUGGAACUGCCUUUGAUACUGGGGAUCUCGAGUCCGGAAGAGGUUGGUGGAACUCCGAGUGUAGAGGUGAAAUUCGUAGAUAUUCGGAAGAACACCAGUGGCGAAGGCGGCCAACUGGUCCGGCACUGACGCUGAGGUGCGAAGGCGUGGGGAGCAAACAGG
rnacentral:rRNA from 1 species